rnacentral:rRNA from 1 species
CCUACGGGAGGCAGCAGUAGGGAAUCUUCCGCAAUGGACGAAAGUCUGACGGAGCAACGCCGCGUGAACGAUGAAGGCCUUCGGGUCGUAAAGUUCUGUUGUUAGGGAAGAACAAGUGCUAGUUAAAUAAGCUGGCACCUUGACGGUACCUAACCAGAAAGCCACGGCUAACUACGUGCCAGCAGCCGCGGUAAUACGUAGGUGGCAAGCGUUGUCCGGAAUUAUUGGGCGUAAAGCGCGCGCAGGCGGUUUCUUAAGUCUGAUGUGAAAGCCCCCGGCUCAACCGGGGAGGGUCAUUGGAAACUGGGAAACUUGAGUGCAGAAGAGGAAAGUGGAAUUCCAAGUGUAGCGGUGAAAUGCGUAGAGAUUUGGAGGAACACCAGUGGCGAAGGCGACUUUCUGGUCUGUAACUGACGCUGAGGCGCGAAAGCGUGGGGAGCAAACAGGAUUAGAUACCCUGGUAGUCCACGCUGUAAACGAUGAGUGCUAAGUGUUAGAGGGUUUCCGCCCUUUAGUGCUGAAGUUAACGCAUUAAGCACUCCGCCUGGGGAGUACGGUCGCAAGACUGAAACUUNAANGAAGUGA